CCUACGGGUGGCUGCAGUUGGGAAUCUUGCACAAUGGGGGAAACCCUGAUGCAGCGACGCCGCGUGGAGGAAGAAGGGUCUAGGCUCGUAAACUCCUUUUUCAGGGAAAGACUUAGGACGGUACCCUGAGAAUAAGCUCCGGCUAACUACGUGCCAGCAGCCGCGGUAAUACGUAGGUUGCGCGCGUUAAUCGGAAUUACUGGGCGUAAAGCGUGCGCAGGCGGCUCACUAAGACAGAUGUGAAAUCCCCGGGCUUAACCUGGGAACUGCGUUUGUGACUGGUGGGCUUGAGUGCGGCAGAGGGGGGUGGAAUUCCACGUGUAGCAGUGAAAUGCGUAGAGAUGUGGAGGAACACCGAUGGCGAAGGCAGCCCCCUGGGUCGACACUGACGCUCAUGCACGAAAGCGUGGGGAGCAAACAGGAUUAGAUACCCCAGUAGUC
rnacentral:rRNA from 1 species